GGGGGCGUAACGGCUUCGACGUGGAUAGAGAACGCUAAGUUGCAUGCCGAGGUCCUGUCCGCUCGUAAAACGGGUAGGAAAACCACAACUGCCGACAACUACGGCUACGCUCUGGCCGCCUAAGGCCAGCGUCUGGGGCUUUUCGCCGGAAGAAAGCUUCAGGCGACGGAAUUCCGGCGCAUCCGUCGGGUAAGCCCGUGACCCGGCGGAUUACCCCAAGGCGGGCUAGCCCUUAGGGAUUCUGCCGGCGGAAGCCCGACAGGGCGAACUAAAUACACCGGCUAAGCAUGUAGACGCUUAGGGGGACUGUUUGCGGACGCGGGUUCGACUCCCGCCGCCUCCACCA
rnacentral:tmRNA from 1 species